rnacentral:rRNA from 1 species
UGCCAGCCGCCGCGGUAAUACGGAGGGUGCAAGCGUUAAUCGGAAUUACUGGGCGUAAAGCGUGUGUAGGCGGUCUGCUAAGUCGGAUGUGAAAGCCCCGGGCUUAACCUGGGAAUUGCAUUCGAUACUGGUAGACUUGAAUUUGGUAGAGGAAAGUGGAAUUCCGGGUGUAGCGGUGAAAUGCGUAGAUAUCCGGAGGAACAUCAGUGGCGAAAGCGGUAUCCUGGCAUUGUCCUGACGCUCACGUGCGAAAGCGUGGGUAGCGAACGGGAUUAGAUA